CGUACACUCCUGCGGGAGGCAGCAGUGGGGAAUAUUGGACAAUGGGCGCAAGCCUGAUCCAGCCAUGCCGCGUGAGUGAUGAAGGCCCUAGGGUUGUAAAGCUCUUUCACCGGUGAAGAUAAUGACGGUAACCGGAGAAGAAGCCCCGGCUAACUUCGUGCCAGCAGCCGCGGUAAUACGAAGGGGGCUAGCGUUGUUCGGAUUUACUGGGCGUAAAGCGCACGUAGGCGGACUAUUAAGUCAGGGGUGAAAUCCCGGGGCUCAACCCCGGAACUGCCUUUGAUACUGGUAGUCUUGAGUUCGAGAGAGGUGAGUGGAAUUCCGAGUGUAGAGGUGAAAUUCGUAGAUAUUCGGAGGAACACCAGUGGCGAAGGCGGCUCACUGGCUCGAUACUGACGCUGAGGUGCGAAAGCGUGGGGAGCAAACAGGAUUAGAAACCCGAGUAGUCCCAU
rnacentral:rRNA from 1 species